rnacentral:rRNA from 1 species
UACGAAGGGUGCAAACGUUGCUCGGAAUUAUUGGGCGUAAAGCGCACGUAGGCGGCUUAUCAAGUCGGAUGUGAAAUCCCUCGGCUCAACCAAGGAAGUGCAUCCGAAACUGACAAGCUUGAGUUCGAAAGAGGAUCGCGGAAUUCCCGGUGUAGAGGUGAAAUUCGUAGAUAUCGGGAGGAACACCAGUGGCGAAGGCGGCGAUCUGGGUCGAUACUGACGCUGAGGUGCGAAAGCGUGGGGAGCAAACAGG